GGGGGGGGGCUAAUACAUGCAAGUCGAGCGGACUUAAARAGMUUGCUUUUUAAGUUAGCGGCGGACGGGUGAGUAACACGUGGGCAACCUGCCUGUAAGACUGGGAUAACUUCGGGAAACCGGAGCUAAUACCGGAUAAUCCUUUUCUACUCAUGUAGGAAAGCUGAAAGACGGUUUACGCUGUCACUUACAGAUGGGCCCGCGGCGCAUUAGCUAGUUGGUGAGGUAACGGCUCACCAAGGCGACGAUGCGUAGCCGACCUGAGAGGGUGAUCGGCCACACUGGGACUGAGACACGGCCCAGACUCCUACGGGAGGCAGCAGUAGGGAAUCUUCCGCAAUGGACGAAAGUCUGACGGAGCAACGCCGCGUGAGUGAUGAAGGUUUUCGGAUCGUAAAACUCUGUUGUUAGGGAAGAACAAGUACGAGAGUAACUGCUCGUACCUUGACGGUACCUAACCAGAAAGCCACGGCUAACUACGUGCCAGCAGCCGCGGUAAUACGUAGGUGGCAAGCGUUGUCCGGAAUUAUUGGGCGUAAAGCGCGCGCAGGCGGUCCUUUAAGUCUGAUGUGAAAGCCCACGGCUCAACCGUGGAGGGUCAUUGGAAACUGGGGGACUUGAGUGCAGAAGAGAAGAGUGGAAUUCCACGUGUAGCGGUGAAAUGCGUAGAGAUGUGGAGGAACACCAGUGGCGAAGGCGACUCUUUGGUCUGUAACUGACGCUGAGGCGCGAAAGCGUGGGGAGCAAACAGGAUUAGAUACCCUGGGUAGUCCACGCCGYAAACGAUGAGUGCUAAGUGUUAGAGGGGUUUCCGCCCUUUAGUGCUGCAGCAAACGCAUUAAGCACUCCGCCUGGGGGGAGUACGGACGCAAGGACUGAACUCAAGGAACUUGAACUGGGGGGUUCGGCAACUA
rnacentral:rRNA from 2 species